rnacentral:rRNA from 1 species
CCUACGGGAGGCAGCAGUGAGGAAUAUUGGUCAAUGGGCUUACGCCUGAACCAGCCAAGUCGCGUGAGGGAAGACUGCCCUAUGGGUUGUAAACCUCUUUUGUCAGGGAGCAACGCCGGCUACGCGUAGCCGGACUGAGAGUCCCUGAAGAAAAAGCAUCGGCUAACUCCGUGCCAGCAGCCGCGGUAAUCCGGAGGAUGCGAGCGUUAUCCGGAUUUAUUGGGUUAAAAGGGUGCGUAGGCGGAAUGCCAAGUCAGCGGUAAAAUCGCGGGGCUCAACCUCGCUCCGCCGUUGAAACUGGCGGUCUUGAGUGGGCGAGAAGUAUGCGGAAUGCGUGGUGUAGCGGUGAAAUGCAUAGAUAUCACGCAGAACUCCGAUUGCGAAGGCAGCAUACCGGCGCCCAACUGACGCUGAAGCACGAAAGCGUGGGUAUCGAACAGGAUUAGAUACCCGAGUAGUC